UACGUAGGGGGCUAGCGUUGUCCGGAAUCAUUGGGCGUAAAGCGCGCGUAGGCGGCCCGGUAAGUCCGUUGUGAAAGUCAAAGGCUCAACCUUUGAAAGCCGAUGGAUACUGCCGGGCUAGAGUCCGGAAGAGGCGAGUGGAAUUCCUGGUGUAGCAGUGAAAUGCGUAGAGAUCGGGAGGAACAUCAGUUGCGAAGGCGGCUCUCUGGACCAGCACUGACACUGAGGCACGAAAGCGUGGGGAGCAAACAGG
rnacentral:rRNA from 1 species